GUACGCAGGCGGUUUGUUAAGCGAGAUGUGAAAGCCCCGGGCUCAACCUGGGAACUGCAUUUCGAACUGGCAAACUAGAGUGUGAUAGAGGGUGGUAGAAUUUCAGGUGUAGCGGUGAAAUGCGUAGAGAUCUGAAGGAAUACCGAUGGCGAAGGCAGCCACCUGGGUCAACACUGACGCUCAUGUACGAAAGCGUGGGGAGCAAACGGGAUUAGAUACCCCGGUAGUCCACGCCGUAAACGAUGUCUACUAGAAGCUCGGAACCUCGGUUCUGUUUUUCAAAGCUAACGCAUUAAGUAGACCGCCUGGGGAGUACGGCCGCAAGGUUAAAACUCAAAUGAAUUGACGGGGGCCCGCACAAGCGGUGGAGCAUGUGGUUUAAUUCGAUGCAACGCGAAGAACCUUACCUACACUUGACAUACAGAGAACUUUCUAGAGAUAGAUUGGUGCCUUCGGGAACUCUGAUACAGGUGCUGCAUGGCUGUCGUCAGCUCGUGUUGUGAGAUGUUGGGUUAAGUCCCGCAACGAGCGCAACCCCUAUCCUUAGUUGCUAGCAGGUAAUGCUGAGAACUCUAAGGAGACUGCCGGUGAUAAACCGGAGGAAGGUGGGGGCGACGUCAAGUCAUCAUGGCCCUUACGUGUAGGGCUACACACGUGCUACAAUGGCGCAUACAGAGUGCUGCGAACCUGCGAAGGUAAGCGAAUCACUUAAAGUGCGUCGUAGUCCGGAUUGGAGUCUGCAACUCGACUCCAUGAAGUCGGAAUCGCUAGUAAUCGCGUAUCAGAAUGAC
rnacentral:rRNA from 1 species